UCCAUGCUAUCUCCUAAAGCAGUCAUUCUGAAACCCAAUCUGGGGACAGUGCAGACUAAAUAAAAUUUCAUUUUGAUUUGGCCUCCCGCUGAGAAUGGGACUGCUUUGUUUCAGCCGACAGAACCAGCAAGCCAGAAAGGGUCAUUGUGGUGGAGGAAAUAUUUUUAUCUAGGCCUCAGGAAACGGUGGUCUGGCUAGCAACUGCAGUGGUGCGAAUGGUUGGAUGAAGAGUAUUUACUUGGGGCAAAACAUGCCAUCACUUACCUCUGCCCCAAAACUCCUGAACUACAAGAGCUAAUCAAUGUCAGUGGCCACCUGGAAACACCCAGUGAGGAAGGACUGUGGCAGCCACUACCCUGAAAACAAACCUUCAAUCUGAAGUGAGAUGAAAAGAACCAAUGUUGUUGGGAUGCCUAAGAUUUCAAAAUCUGACUUCAUAUUAAACAUGAAACAUGUCUUAAAACACAUCUUAUGGAUCCAGAAGAACACAUCUUUCAGCAUUUGAGAAGUAUUUAAAAUACUCCAGCAGAUGAAGAGAUGGGAAGAGCCUACAAGAGAAACAAUCGACUUGUGGUAGACUUGGAGUUUAGACGAACAGUGUCUUCAAGGGGCUGAUGACGGACGCAUCCUUCCUGGAUUUUUCAAAUUAGAGGCAAGUCUUUCAUCUCAAGAAGGAAGAUGCUUCACCUUCUCUGAGCUUCCCAGCCUUCAUUCCCACCACCCUCCCAAAGUCUGUCUUUUUCUUCUUCUUCCACCUCUUCUCCUGUGAACUUGCCCAUCUGUUUCUAUUUACUACCAGACUUCCCCGCUCCCACACUCCUCAUGCAGUUGGUGAACCACACAAUACUCUCCACCUGCCUCUUCCUCCCCCAGGAGUUUGCCAAUGGCAGCUCUUUCCCUCCUCUUCCUGAGCAUCUGUUUCCCCAAGUGAGGGGCGGCUCAUGCUAGGCUUGCUGUCUUUGGGGUUUAUGUGGCAUCCUGCCUCUGGGCUACAAGAGAUUCCCAACCGACCUUGCAGCUCUCCCAGCUCCUCAUCACUCCCUGACACCCACAGGCUCCUCCUCAAAUCAUCGGAUGCAGAGUGCAACAACACUGCAUGUCAAGGCAUCUGUGCAGAGGGAUAUCAUCAGAUGCUGCUUCUCUGGGAGGGCAUACCACUCUAGGGCACACAUCCACACACGUGGAUGCCAUGUUUCCAGCACAACAGCUCCUUCAUGAGCAUAUUAUUUUUUGCUUCCUCACCUCUUUUCAUGGUUGUAAGCUGCUCAGAGCAAGAUGUUUCCUUCUUAAAUACUUGUGUAGUACUUAGUGCAGAGACCCUGCAAAACCAUGGCCAAACAGCAAUAAAAAUGAUAGUAACAGAUACUGAAUGGGAGACUUCAGAAAUAAAGAAAGGAAACAAAAUAGGAGCUGACAUGAUAAAUAUUUGCAAAUAUUUGCAAAUAAUAGGUAGGGGUCAAUCAGGAAUUUCCAUCGUCCCUCUCCUAUCGUUACAUGGGGGUAAGGAAAUGCUGCCUGAAAGUAAAAGCUGGUCUUUGGAAACGCAUAAAAAGAAAAUAUUUCCCCUCCCCAGCCACAAUGUAUAAUUAGCUUGUAGUAAUAGUUGCCCUUGAGUGACACUGAGGCCAAGUACUCAGUAAGAUAGUUGCACAGAUAGUACAAAAUACUUGUAGUUAUCUAUUUUGUUAGAGGGAUACUAAUCCUACGCUUCAGGCUUUAGGUCGGUCUCUGUUAAAGACAAGGAGGAGAUCUGAUACGCUGCUACUUUCAGAGAAAUAUAUUAGACCUGAGAGACCUAUCAUCUGAUUUUGUGUGGCAUUUCCUGCAAGAAAGAGCAAGGAGGAAGCAGAAGGCUGGAGGGUCAAAAGUAAAAGUGUGAAUAAAAAAAAAAAAAAAAAAGAAAAAAAAAGAAAGAUCCAUCAGAAUAAAAAGAGAAUAAAAAUAUGGGACAGAAAAAGGCUAGCGUUGAAAAGAGAGUGAACUCUCUUUUACUUUGUUCCAGUUUAAUGUUUCCGUGGGGGUCUCCAGAAUUUUAUUUAAAGACUAUGCAUCUACCAGUGUUUUAUAGAAAUAUGCUUUUGAGGGUGAGACUAUUUGACUUGGAAGUUAUCUCCAGCAUUUACCUAGGUGAUUAUCAAUAUAUAAGUAAGUCUGAUUUUGUUCUCAGUUCCAUUUACAGUAUUAUUGAUGUAUUAUUACAAUUAAUUAAUCCUGGAAAAGGAUGUCUAACAAUUAGCAGUUUGUGAAGACCAGAUGCUGUGUGCUGUUAAAGUUAGAGAAAGUAUGUAUUAUAAAGCCAAUUACGUGCACCAGGUGUAAAGAUAAAAAAUUAUUUACUUUAAAAAAAGAGGCUAUUGGAACAAAUAUGAUUAAAAGGUAUAUAAUUGAUGCAUAAAACAGGUGGGACAGCAAAAGACUGAUGAACCAUUCUGGACAGGAUAACAAGCUAAACAUUUGUUGAGAUUUGAACAACUUUGGUUUGGUUUUGCUUUGGUCUUGAUCUUCGUGUCUUUCAAGGCCCUUGCCAGACAGCCUCCAAGAAAGAAAGAAGAACUGAUUUAAUCCAAAAUACUAAGACAGUUUGUUUUUCAUAUCUUACCAACCCACCUGAAAUUGUAGCUGGAUGUAGUCUUACCUGAAAACGUGAACAAAGUGGUACAAAAUUGAUCAGCGUCAUUGCAUAAUACGUGUUUGCACUGAAGCUCUUCUGAACCAUGUGUUGGAGUUACUCUUUUCCAAUAUUUGUUGGACCGUCCUUAGUCCAAGUGAACUUCAUGUCUUUCAAAAAUUGCUCCUUUAAAAGAAAAUCUAGCCUGGAAACAGAGUGCCUCCCCAGAAAUCAAAAGUAUUGACUGUAAGCAUAGUAUGUCCACCAACCAAAGUAGUGCUCCACAGUGUAAUUUUUAGUCUGUGUUUUCAGUUUAACUGGUAGCUCAGUGUUGUUUUGAGAAAACAUAGUAGGGAGUGCCAGUGAAACCUUAAAACAUAGAAAAUUAAAUCUGGGACAGAAAUAUCCCAUACAAAUAUCCAUCUCAUUGAGUUACUUUAGCGUUUCGGAGUUUUGUCUGGAAUUCAUGCAAGACAAUAAUUGCCACAUAAGCAAGCAAAGAGCAAACGUAUCUUUAUUUGGGUUACUCAGCUUUCUAUCCUACUGUUUUCUCCUUUAUAUUAGCCCAUAUUCCAUGCCCCUGGGCUCCUUACCAGCUCCUCAUUAAGGCAUGCACCUUCUUGUGGCUCCCUAUCAACCUCCUGCACUGCAGCAGUUAACCCAUUAUAGUACCAAGUACAUGACUGUUGCAGCAUUUAUUCAAGAUUCAAAAUAUUCUCUGAUUCUCUGCCAAGUUUUAAAAUUAACUUUGAAGGAAAAGAGAUGUAUUGAAACACAUCAGGUUUUUACCAAAAAUAGAUCAUGCCAUACUGCUCUCAUAACUUCCAUAAACAAUGGAGUUUUUUUGAAACAAGGAAAUACAAUAGAUCUCACUCCUGUGGGCAUCCAUAAAUUGUAUUUUAGGGAGUUACGGGGGGAGGGGUAUUAUCUAAACUGGAGAAAGCAGAGAUCAGUUAGAAGAACUGUAAGGAACUGACUGAAGAAGAGAUGACUCUGGGCUGUGCUGAAAAAGGAUCUAUUGGGAGGGACAGAGAUUAGUAGUGGAGUCCUACACAGACUGCUAUUAGGACUGAUCAUUUCAUAGGGUCAUAUUUUCAUUAAUAACCACAAAACAGAAGAGGAAGUACUCACUGUUGAAAUUUGCUGAUUGCACAAAGCUAGGGAAAACUACCAGUAUUGACUUGUAAUAGUGCAAACAGAGGAAAGGGAAGAAAAGUAAUGGGAAUGGACCAGGUGAAAUCCAGGAGUAUAGCCUCAUGAUGGUACACUUCAGAAGACAAAUAAUGAAGCAGUGGUUUUAGGUACCCAGUUUGGGUGGAUAUCAUUGCUUUAGCAGUUGGCUAAAAAAAAAGAUACAAGUUAAGUAAACAAUUUGGAUCACACUCCUUGCUAAUAAAAGGUUGCUGUGAGCCUUAGGUAAGUUAUGCCCAUAAAACAAAAGUGUGACAAGGGAGAGUUAUCUGGCAAUGCUGGGGGGUUUUCUGUUUUUUAUUGAAUGAUGCAGCUCUAGAAAAGUACAGGUACACUGUGUACAACUUGGGUUAUAGAUGUGCAAGAAAAUUAAUUCAAACUGGACAAGGACCAAGAAAGUGUACUGGGAGGAGGAGGAGAGGCUGUCUAAUAAGGGAGAGUAAAAGUGUUUCACUUGUUUACACAAACAAAACAAAGGCUAUUAGGGAACAUAACUGUUGUCUAUAAAUAUAUAAGGAGGGAGAAGAGCUAUUUAAAGGAUGAUGUUGACAUAAGAACAAAGGUUAUAAGAUGACCAUGAAUAAACUCAAACAGGAAAUUAAGAGGAAGUGCUGGAAUGAAAUCCUGGAGCAGCCCUCCAACAGGAACAGGGAGAGGAAGAAACUUCACUGGUUCCAGCAAGAAACUUCACUGGUUCCAGCAUGAAACUUGAGCACUUCAUGAAACCAAUUAUGUGACGUGUGGUUGACAGCAGAAGCUGGGGUUUGAACUUGAUUCAGGAGGUACUUUUAAAUCCUAUAUUUCCUAUGUUUCCACGGGAAGCUGAUUUAAAUCUUCGGCAAGAGAUGUCUUAGAUGCUGAUAACAGUAAUUAAUACCUUACACUCCAGUAAUACCCUUCCAUCUAAAGACCGCAAAGCACAUUGAACACAUGUGGGAAUUAAACAUCUAAAUAUUCACCUGUGUUGUUACUGUUAUUCUGCAGCCAGGAAAUUGCAAUGCCCUGAGCAACUCUUUUUGGAUCCCUUGGAAAAAUCUGUAAAAAUGAAGAAUAGACCUCACAGAUCUCCUAGUUUUAAGAAACCUGUAGUUCUGAAAAUUGUCAUCAUGUUUUCAAAGCUUUUUAAUUCCAGAAAAUGUAUGAAUUGUAUACAAUUGUUUGUACAAAGCUAUAAGCCAUAUGCUGUUUAGCUUACAAUGUCAAUGAGCAAGUCAGCAAGAAAAUGAAGGUGUUUGUAAAUGUUGCAUUUAAAAAGCAUUUAGAAAAAUGAGAGCGACCCUCCAAAGAUGUAUGCAUCUCCAAAAUCAGAACAAUGCAGUAUUUCAGUCAUUAAACGUGACACGUAGCUACAAAUAAGAAUCAUAUAGCUUGAAAAAAUGUUGUUUUCCUCUUGGGGAGUUAGAACAGCACCAGUUCCGUGUGUGUUAAUUCCCACUCUGACUUCCACUGGGAAAGGCGCCAGGGGUGGCAAGGAUUGGAGAGCAGUUGAUCCCUGGCUCUGCUCCCUACCCUGAAACCCUUCCCUCCCAAACCUGCAGAACCCCAGCAUCACUUUCCGGCAUGUGAACCGGCAUCCAGCACACAGAGGAGACUGAACACACUGGUUUGGCUCUUUUCUGAGGGUUUAGAAUCCUCUGUCUCACCCCUACUCUUCCACCUCCUUUGAAAGGGGAUAAGUCCUGAAGUCCAUCUGAUUUCUUGCUUGCACUAUGCUGAUCCCUAAAUAGCAAACCACUGAAUACAGAGACAUAUUCAGAAGAGCAGAUUUGCACAAUUCCCACCUACCAAUAACCUCCUGCUUCUUCCAGUGUCAUGCUGGAUGCUGGAUAUGGUCCCUGAACAGUAAGGCUACAGGCCUCUGCUCCUACAAAUUCCUCCGCUCUGUGACCUCUGCCGAGGUGUUUACAAGCCCCAAGCAACAGUGAGCCAGACAGGCUUCCAUGCGUGUGUUGAGCCAUACCCCAGAAGAACAGGCUUUGCCAGAAAAAUAUAUACUCUAAAUCAAAGGAAACCACACACAUAUAGCUGAGCACAGAAGUUGGCUCCAGCAGUGCGUAGACCCUGUUAAAAGCAGGUGCCUGAAACAAGACCAAGUACCUGCCCAGGGUAAAUCAACUUUAAGGAUGAAGACUACAGUUCAGCAAAUCUGUUGUGGGAAGCAAUGCUGUGCUGGGGGCAGAGAGGAAUGGGAAAGGCACAUAGAGGAUUUGUCAGUCAUCUGAAUCCGCUCCAUGUCAAUAAAGCCAAUUAUUUUCUAGAUGGCUAAAAUUUACUUGUUCUUCUUUAUGACCAGGAAAGAUAGACAAAUGAUGGUUAGACUGCCCACACCCUUCACAUGUUGCUGGCUUUUCUGGACUGUAAUCUAUCCAGUGGGCAAAACACUGAGCCUUGUUUUUCUAAAGCUCAGAACAAUGAAGCCCUAAUUCUUAUAAUACCAUACAAAUAAUAAAAAAAUCAUAGGAAUUCCCAUACAAAAAAAGGCCAGAUUCUGCCUAUAAAAUAUAUUGCUCUGUUUAAGUCAAAGGAAAUUGCACAUGUGUAGCUGAGCACAAAAGUUGGCUCAAAGCCCACUUGUAACUAAGCUGUGCAUGUGAGGACAGAAUAGAGCCCAUUGCCUCUUGAGAGCUUUUUAAUUGUUCUUUGUUGUUCUCUAAGACAUCAAUUACCUAAACUGAAAAACAGAAUUUUUCUCCAGUGUAACAUGUCUCCGACAGGCUAUUUAAAAAAAAAAAUUUAUUUUUUAAAUCUGUUAACUCCCACUUUAGAGACUGUUGAGAGAAAGUAAUUUGUAUCUACAGUCUCUUCCUAUGGACCUACCCAAGGAAAGCCCAAUCUGCUGUGGCUGUUGCCUGGAGCAGCCUCUGAUGAAGUCCUGCCCCAACUCACUUCAUAGGCGACAAGGGGUGAAGAGUUUCCUCACUCAAGUUCCCUCACAGCCUUUUCAAGGCUGCAUUUUUCCACAUAAGGACUAGAAGAUAGGCUGCACUAGAAGAUAGACAGAGUGAAAAAGUGUCCUUUCUGGCUUUCCUCAGCUUAUAAUAUAGUUUUACUAGCCUUCCCUUGAUGUCUGCCACUGCCCCUUUUUAAGGGCCUUCUGAAGAGUGAAGUGAAAUGUAAAGAUUAAUACAGUUUCCAACCACAUUAACUUUCCAGUAGUUUUUCUGCAGAGUUUUAGCACAGUGGGGCGCAUUCCUUCCUAUUCCUCCCCUCUUACCUCUAGCAUUUUCUCUCUGUCUCCCCAGAAGAUCUUUGCAGAAACACUAACAGAAAAAAAGUGACAUGAAGGCUUCUUUCCCUACUUUGCUGGAGAAAGAUGAUAGUGUGAGAAGGAUGUUUAGCUUAACAUCUCUUCAUGGCUGCUGCUUCUGCCCUAGAACACACUGGCAUAUCACCUCAGAUCAGUAUGUUUAGAAAGAUCUGUAUAUAUUUUUGAUUGGAGAAUCUGCCUUGCUUCCAGAUAGGGCUCUUAAAAUCUGAGGAGCCAACUGGAAAUCUUGAAGAGUGUGCAUCUGGCUGAAGCAACCUCAAACCAAGCAAACUCAACAAGACAGUCUCUCAUCCCUGUCCCAAACCUCCUUCUUUCCCAGCUUCACUACCCACCUAAAAAGGCUCUGAUGACAAGGCAGAACUGAGUCACUAAAAAUAAAUCCCCAGCUUGUGUUAACAACCUUCAUGCAUCCACCUUCUCACGUCCAAAACCCCAACAUCAGAAACAAAGGUGUGUUCAUUUUGGUUUUUUGGUUUCAAAGCAGCUCAGGUAGAGCAGAAGACAAUUCAGAAAUUAGAGAAAAUCUACAGAAAAAAAAAAAGAUGAUGAUAAGCUUAUAAUGUAUAACUCAAAGGUGUUUUACCAACAUUUAAUAACACUGUGGAGGGAAGGAGAAGUUGAAGGAGCAGUUGUUUGCUUAUUAUUUUCAACUUCAGCAUUCAUUUGAUAGAAGGCUCAAACGCAACCACAUUAAUAGCUAGGAGGUGCACUUCGCUGUGAGCUUGUGGGAGGUCUUGUGCUUGAAGACACUGAAGUAUUUCGCUUUCAAAUGCUCUGCACUUUUUUCUUUUUCUUUUUUUUAAGAGUUAUGGGAUUUAAUUAAAUUGGUGGUCUGCAGGCUUUUUUCAGUCAGAAGUUACAUGUAACCUGCCUCUUGUAUCCCUCUAUCUCUCUCUCUCUUUUUCCCUUGCAGAAGGUUUUGCUAGGCAUGUACAUCCAUUUCAGAAUCUAAUCAUAGACAACUUAAAUCUUUCCAACGUUACCCACAUUAGUAAUUGCAAAAUAAUAAACAUGACAAAAUUCAGAUUAAUAGGGCAUCCUACACAACUCAGAUGGCAGCGAGAGCCCUUUGGAAUUCUAAGAGUAAUAGGUCUGUGUUUAUUUCUCAACCGAUGGCAUAAUGUGACUGAUUUACAAGAGUUUAACUCAAGUGUUAAUCUGACAGUGACGAAGAGCUUCUCAGUGGCAGAAUCACUUACACUAUCAUAUUAGUUGCCUCCUCUAUUAAAGCAGUAUGGUCGAUAAUUGGAAUGCUUUUAUGUCUAGUGGUUCUGACAAGGCUCUCUUUAGGUCACAUAUGGGCGGUCUGGCUUGCUGCACAGCUGAACAGUGGCAAAUGAUUUAAACUGAGAAAGUAUUGUUCUCCUCGUAUUAUGGAGCAAGGGCAGUUCAAGGAAAGUAAGGCUCUGCACUGGCUACCUGCUGGUGUGUAGUAAAAUAAGAUGGACAUGAUACUGGGUUGGAAGUACAAUUAAAUCUAUUUUGCACCUAUGUGUUGGUGGACAGAUGAGUUUCCACAUGGCAGAGCUUUAUGAUCUUUAAGGUAGACUGAACUAAUAGAUUGGUGUGGAGCGCGCUGAAGUUACUAAGGAUGAGAAAGCAAGCAGCAGUACAUUUGAACUACAGGUUUCUCAUAUGCUCCACGUCAUGCUGAGUUUUUAUAGCUCCUGGCUUUCAAAAAGCCUGUUUCAAAGAGGUUUGCGCUAGACUGGGCAUGCAGUUUUGCUCUGCAGAUAUUGUCGCUACCGAUUUAGUGGAAUGCAAUUAGGAAGCCUAAAUUAAGUGGUAAUGGAGAACCAGCUCUUGAAACUGGGGUUUCCACGGCAACCAUUGCUUACAAUACAGCCUUCAGUUAGUUUUCCCACUUUAUCUGCAAAAUGCACAAUUGAGCUUUAAAACAGCUUUGUGCUGAAAAGCGCACUGUAAACAACUGUUUGCAAUGAGAUUUUUACACUGUCUUUAAAUACAACAAGCUAUCAAAUAAAAUUUACUUGUCCACACUAAUAAAAAAAAAAAAAGAAUCCAUGCAGUACAAGAAACUAAAGGGUCCAGAAACUUAUUAUUCAUUCUGGAAAUGUAUAUAUAAUACAAAAAUUCAAGAUCUUGUGGGUCCUCAGUUUGUCUUUUAAGUCUUAUCGUUAUUCCUCAAUUUUAAGACACAUAAUCCCAUAUCUCUCAGUACUGAGAAGAACUGAGUGUUUUGGUACAAAUACUGCAUUUAUCGCAAUAGUAAUGCUAUAUAGUUAGAAAGUGCUUUUUGUCUAACAUGAGCUAAUAAAUGUGCAUUUUCAUCAGUUCCUUUAACAUCUAGCAAUCCUUUACAGACUUUUUUUUUCAUUUUUCCCUCUGUAAUAUAUUAUUAUAUCCUUCAUAAAUGUUCAUAUUUUAUGGCAAAGUAACACUGUGCCACCUCUGAACUGCUUAACAUUCUUGAUUGCUUUAGGAUCAUAGCUCAACUUUUGCAUGUUGUCAAAUGUAACCACAGGCAAUUAAAUAUGUGUAAAGUACAGGAAAGUGGAAAGGUUGAUGUUAAGGUCAUAUGUGUAAUUUGUAUUGACCACCCUUUUCAUGAUAACCCCCUCAAACUGAACCUCUAAACUGAAAUUACGUAUUUGCAACCAAUUGUUUCUCCUCUGUUAUACAAUCACAAGUCUUGGACUAAUGCUGUCAGGUGACUUGUAAGAGCUGAGAUCCUGGCAGGUCUUAAUUUUCCCUUUGUUUCCCUUUUACAGCUAUUUGUUUUAAUCACGAUAAAAAUCUAACAGAAAACACUGUUUAAACUUCACCAAGAUAAUUUCAGAAGAGACAUCACUCAGUUUUCAUUUCUGGCCUAUCAGCUGUUAGAGUACUCUUUUAAGGCAGUGUUCUUCGGAAAAAGAGAAAAAACACACCACCAAAGGAUCGCACAGCAAGUCAAAACACACCUAAUUUGUGUUUCAGCUCAAGUAUAGCAACCCAAGCACCUUGCAGCCUUUCACGGCUGACACACUUGUGAGUGUGUGUGUUACAGCAACCAUGCCAGGUCAAUGCAGAGAGAGAGAAAAAGGGUGUGAGGGUGAAGGUGGUGGGAAGGGGAGAGAAAGGGGAGGUGUGGGUGCCUUCCCUUGGGAGCCUGCUGGUCAGAGGACUGUACCACGGCAUCCACACUCAUGUAUAAAUCUGGAUUUGAUGUAGUUUCCGCAGACUUUGAACGUGCCAGGCAGGGAAGCCUGCCCUUCACAGUACGGGUGCGCUUUCAGACGCGGUGAUCAGGCUGUGUCUAUUCUGAUCUGCUUAAAACAGCCUUUUCAGUGCUAACCAAAACAAGAAUGAGGACAGGAAGGCUGAUCGCAAAGUUCACAUCUCCUCCGCUGUGUGCCAGCACUAAUAGGAGUUUCUUCUGUGAUGGGUAGGUCAUAAAACACACAGCUGUAGAGACUGUGCAGGGUGAACAAAUCAAAGAACUUAGCAAUAAAAAUGAUGUGUGUGCCAAUAUUAUUUCAUAUUAACUUGUGAAAAUUGUUGAAGAAACACAUCUUUGUCAUAUAUCAGAAUUGGCUCUAAAGCUGAAUCAACGGAUUAAUAGGGUUAUUUGUAAUGAUAUUGUCCCAUAAAGGCUUUAUUAUUUAGGAAUCAGAGUUGGAAAUUGUAAUUUCUUCAAUGAUUUUUCAUCACAUAAAUUGGCCUGCCUCAACUCCUCCGUCUAGAAGGCAAGAGGAGAGGUUGAGCUGGUCCCCAUAUUCAUUCUUACACAAAAUCUGCUCAUUUGGAUGGAUCCCAAAUUUUAAAGAAACAAGUUCCUGGAAGGGAUGCAGAAUGCCAGUGUGCACAAGGCUUUCACAGGGCAUCUCGUUUCAACACUGACUGCCUGCAUUUUAUCAGAGUACUAAAGGACACAUUGAAAUUAUUUUGUUCUGGCACCAGCGCGCGUUGUGAUGUGUGUGCAUUCAAUUACACUUGACAAAUCUUUGGGGCAAACAAAAUGGUCUAAUGUAAGGAAAUAUCUUAGCAUAUUCCAAAAUGACAUUUUUAGACCAAACAUGUGUUCGAUUGAUUUGCCUUCUCCAGAGAUCACUUUUGAAUCCAGGCCCACGAUAAGUAGGGGGGCAGGCUCUCGCUGAAGGCCAGGCGGGUCAGCUGUGCUUCCGCUGGUAUUUCCUGAGCUGCAGAGUCCUGUACCUAACUGUACAAAUAGCUCCACAUGGCAUCCUGAGAGCGUGCCAGGGAAUUUUAUGAUCACACGCCAAGUAUGGUUGUCAGGUUCCACUCCACUGCUGUGUGUGUAUGUGUGUGCUCAUAUGUGUGUGUGGCUGGAGCUAACUUCAGACUGAGUAAUUACCAUAAUCCAAACAGGGCCUUUACCAUCUUAUUUGCAUUCAGCCAGCAGUGCUGUUUUUAUCAGCACCACUACUGAAUUGUUGCAAAGUUUUAAUUAUCUUGACAACUCUCCUUUUUUUUUUCAUUUGUUCCUUUUUUUUUUUUUUCUCCUCCCCCCCUUGGGUUGUGUUGGCUUUCAGCAGUCACCCCUCUAUGGCAGCAAUCAUAUUUCUGCAAUAGGAAGUUUUCACACUUUUUCUUCUUCUAGUAUAAUUCAUAGUAACCACCUCAAAGGCUUCUCAGAGUGGGGACAGAGGCAGAGGGAGGUUGUCUUUAUUAAUUAAUGCCUAAUAUUUUUCACAGCAAAAGUCACUCCAAAUGUCUCUUUUUAAAUUGUAUUUGAAUCACUGGUGUAACUUUACAUAUGUGUGUAGGCUUGCUGAACUGAAAGAAACCAUUUCUUAUGCAGAAAACUACCCCCUUGCAUAUAUGUUUGCCAGACUAGAGCUUUAGUUGUCAUGUUUUCUGUAUUUCCAUAAUCUUUUGAUUUAGGAUUAGUGUAAAAUGUAUCAUGUCACUUACUUACUUACAUUUGCUCUUUCUCAAACACUCUGCGUUUUCAGUAUCUGAAUGCAAAGUUAGGCAAAUUCAACCUUGAAAUAAGACACCAUUUCCUAGCAGUAAGGGUAAUUAAACACUGGAAGAUCUUACCCAGGAAGUAGGUGGACUCACCAUAUCUUAGAGUCUUUAAAAAGAGAUUAGACAACUUUCUGAAAGACAUGAUUUAAUACAGCUUCCAGGGAAAGAUUCUAGUAUAUGCACACAGGAGGUCAGACGAGACAGUCUCUGACGUACCUUUCGACUUCUGAGCCUGUUGGCCUAGAAAUCUAAGUUCAGAUAUGGUUUGGUUCAUGUUUAAAGAUCAGUUAUAAUAUCUACAUACAGAAAUUAUCUCCUGGGAACAUUAGGACAAAAUAUUUUUCAAAAUGGUGGUGCUGAACUAAAUUAGGUUUUGCUUGCUCAGUUUUCCAUUGCUUUUUGUUUUGCUUUUAUAAGUACUUAAAAAUCACAAACGUUAAUGCAGAUUAAAAUACUCCAGUAUGAGAUCGUUAUGGAGGAAUAGAAGGCUUUAAAGCCUAAAGAUUCACAGAACAAACGUAAAAAUUACUUUUAGUCCGUUGGAUUCUCAGAUGCAAUAAAUGUUUUAAAAAUAAGUACAGUUAAUAUUUUUCUAACCAUGGAAUACUAUGAUUGUAUUUAGCUUCUCAUCUCUUAUGAAGUUUAUGCAUCAGAUUGAAUAUAAUUGCUAUCAAAUGGUAUGGUAGUAUUCUGUUCUCCUGAAAGGUAAACAAAUUCUGCUUAACAGUUGUUAGACAUUUGUUUUGCUGUAGUUUGGUCUUAUAAACACCUUAUCCUUGUUUUCCCUUUAAAAGGAAAAAAAAAAAAAUAAAGGUAAGAACCAUUAGGGAUUUCUCUUUAAAUCCAGCAAUCUAUGCAUACUCCUAAGAAUCAAUGCUCAGUAAGCUGUCUGGUGUUCUGCAAUAAAUUCUAGCUUUUAUAGACUUUUGCUGGGCCAGGUAGCUGCUAAUGCCAUAGAAAUUGAUUAUUUGUGGUGUUCUUAUCACUGCUUAAAAUAUCUAAUUGCUUUUUCUCCACAGAUUUGGAUUUGGCUUGCUUGAUGCUGGGCGAUUAAUGAAGGAAGCCCUAACUGGACAAAUGUUAGUCUCCUGAGACAAUGUGUUGUUGAUAACAGGUCUGAUUUGAGCAAGUCUAGUCAAAUUUAAUUUUAAUAGUAUUUAAAGGUACAAGCAGGACACAUAUCACUGAGUUUUGGGCUGGUCUCUUUGGUUUUUAAGUCUGUUGUACUGCCAAAGUUUAUUUCCAUUAAGUAUUAAGCUUUGCAGAGCUGCAAAGACACAUAUCUGUCAGCUGUAGAGACAUGUAAUUUGCCUCAGUAUAGCAAGUUUUGUUCAAAAUUUGCCUUCAUUCUUUCAUACUUAUGCAGACUGGGGUAUGUAGUUCAUCACUGUAUGACUGUUCCUGCGAAGGAAUUAUUGCACUCUGAUUAUUUUGAACGCUAAAAAUUAUUGAUUGAGGUAAAGAAGAGACAAGAAGGUAUUGCAAUCAGUUCCCAAUCUAGUGAGGGCAUCCUUCUUUAAAGGCAUCUAAUCCUUAGCCUAAAAGCUGUAUGCAGUUGCUGCUCCUCCUGUAGGAUUUUUCGCAUAGCUGUGCCUGUGUCAUUUGUGUGAAGUUAAGUACAAAUCAUUUUCUACUGCACUACCAAAUCAAGAUAACCACCAAACAUCAAGUCACCAUCUUACUGGAUCACUGCUUCGAGUGUGAAAUUCAGCUCACAGCUCCGUCACAGAUCCAGCUGAGGAGCAAAGACAUCUCCCAUCCCACCAGAAUACUGGACUCCAAGAUUUUUCCCUUCUUCAUCAAGGUGAAGCAAUGAUGUCUAAAGUCAGUAGGGUCUAGAGUUCUUUCCUCCUUCGAAGAGCUCCCAUUUUCUAGAGACAGGUAAACCAGAGGGAAGAAGGACUUUCAUUCAUGCACCUUGUACUCUUGUUAACCAUGGCACCGGUCUUUCUUUCUUUCUUUGUUCCCAAAAGGGGUUAUUAAAAGGAAGGCUAACCUCCCUGAAGGUCUAGGCAUGGCACUGCACAUCGAUCUUAAGCACCACCUUGCAGAAGUGACUGCAGACACUUGUGUUUGUUGUCAUUUAAACACUAUGUGUGGAAAAGUGGAAUUCUCAGAGUGGGAAUCAAAACGGCUGCACAGGGAAAGGCUCAAGCAUAGGGACUAAGCUCCAGCAUGUAUCUGUAACCAUAGCCCCUUUUAGUGAUGUGGCCCCAACCCAGCUUGGGGCCUGGAGUCCUCUCGUCAGGCUGACACUAACAAUAUUUGAUUCAAAUAAAUCAAUAAAUUCACUCUUGUCUUUUGCAGCAUUAUCACAGUCAUAGCAGUGAUGCUGUAAGCCAAUCUUUUACCUAACUGCCCCAUAGGCAUUUAGGUGAUGUUUCACAUAUGAGGACAACCUACAUCUCUCCACACCCAGGACUAUUAGCCUUGUCACUUCCACCUUGCAGGGACACCCCUUAGACACAAUGCUUUGAAUCAGUGUUCCCUCUCUGUUGGAGACAUGCCACACUUCAAGAAGCAAUUUAAGGUUUAUUGGUCUAGAGAAAACAAAAGAGGUACCAUAAUUAUGCUUUUUUUCCUACUGUGCAGUUACCUAGGAGGAGCCCAUCUCACAAGCCAAGGCAUGUUAUGACUUAUCUAUUUUAGCCAGAUUAAUGUUAGUAUAGUCUAUGCAAAUGGCUGAUUUUGUACACCUAUGGAUUAAUGGCUUCUGCAUGUUUUCAAAGCAUUUCUAUAAAAAGGAAUUCACUAGAAAUGUGCAGUCCUGUGGAACGGCUGCUUCCCAAAGCUGUCUCCUCCAUGCAACCCUGCAGUGAUUCUCCAGCAAAACAAUGGCUGGGAGUUACACCCCUGAGGGACAGGAACACUCUCCCUUUUCUCUGUGUCAAUGUUCCCAUGUAAAAGGCACAGCAAGGAAGUCUGUUUCUCAAUAUUGUACCUACUUGGGGCUCCUGCAGGUGUGAUUAAUUAGGUGUGAUUAAUUAAACCACAAGUCAUGACCUUCUUUUUUUUCCUGUCACAUUACUUAUAAACAAGGAGGCAGUCAGUGAAGUUAAAUGGUAUAGGAUAGUAAAUUUAGAGGAAAUAGAAAUGAGUUGUGUUGCAUGUGGUCAGCCUAUGGGAUUUGCUGCUACAGGUGACCAUCUAACAAAUAGGGUUCCUUGGCUGGAAAGAGUAGUUGUUAAUGCUAUUACCAUAAUAGAUGGGACCAAUCCUAUAUUCCUGGGGCUUCUGGGUGCACUGGGAAGGCAGAAGUGAGUCCUGCUUGGCUAAUAAAGUAAGAGCAAGUGCUCCACAUUCUGGGAAGUCAGGCAGGAAUGUUGUUCUCCACAGACAGCAGCACUGCACUAUUAGCUUGAUCUAUGACUUGCCAUUUCGUGGUUUGGUUGUUUGCUUAUUUGUCUGCCUUUUUAAUUCCUCUGCAAAAUACUGUACUGGCUCUCUCUGUUGACUGAAUGACCAGGCUUGGGCAGAAGAUAUAGCAUUCUUCUUCUCUGGCCUUUAUAUCAAAAUUGAUUAACAAUAAUUCUUUUGCAGAAAAAAAAUGACAGUAAGAUGUGGAUGUUCAUCUUUAAUGAACAAAAUUAUCAUCUUUACCAAAGUGGAAACCAGCUAACUUUUACGGUGCGACUGACGACCUACUUAGCAAUAGCUGAGUAUUCACUCCUUCUUGAAAUGGUAAAGUAACAUUGUAUCCAUACCUAAGAUGAAGAACCACCUGUUGCUCUAGUAAUUUUUUUCUCUCCUCCGUAUAAUUUCUUGGGACCUUUCUCAUUACUUGCAGCAGCAGGAUGUGCUGGCUAGUAUUUAUGUAGUCAGAAAUUUUAACUUAGAAUUACAGCCUGUACAAUCCUGUCAAGUACUCAGAAUUGUUAUGUUUAUGUAUUUUAAUCUUUGUAAGGUAAGGAGUCCACUCAUAAUCUAAUUGGUUUUGUUUAUUGUUGUGUUUGCCGUUUUACAGAAUAGUUCACUGGAAGGUGCCUACUUUAUAAUGUCCUCACUUCUUAAUAAAAGAUCUUAUUUAAAA